UGCAAGUCGAGCGCGGGAAGUCAUUAGAUCCCUUCGGGGUGACGAUGGUGGAACGAGCGGCGGACGGGUGAGUAACACGUGGGCAACCUACCUUUUAGACUGGGAUAACCCCGGGAAACCGGAGCUAAUACCAGAUAGCCCCAUCGAUCACCUGAUCGAUGGGAGAAAGCGGGGAGUAAUCCUCGCCCUAGAAGAUGGGCCCGCGGCGCAUUAGCUAGUUGGGGAGGUAAAGGCUUCCCAAGGCAACGAUGCGUAGCCGACCUGAGAGGGUGAUCGGCCACACUGGGACUGAGACACGGCCCAGACUCCUACGGGAGGCAGCAGUAGGGAAUCAUCCGCAAUGGGCGAAAGCCUGACGGUGCAACGCCGCGUGAGUGAAGAAGGUUUUCGGAUCGUAAAGCUCUGUUAUCCGAGAAGAACAAGGACUGGUCGAAUAGGCCGGUCCCCUGACGGUACCGGAUCAGAAAGCCCCGGCUAACUACGUGCCAGCAGCCGCGGUAAUACGUAGGGGGCAAGCGUUGUCCGGAAUUAUUGGGCGUAAAGGGCGCGCAGGCGGUUUCCUAAGUCUGAUGUGAAAGGCCACGGCUCAACCGUGGAAUGGCAUUGGAAACUGGGGAACUUGAGUACAGGAGAGGAGAGUGGAAUUCCACGUGUAGCGGUGAAAUGCGUAGAGAUGUGGAGGAACACCAGUGGCGAAGGCGGCUCUCUGGCCUGUAACUGACGCUGAGGCGCG
rnacentral:rRNA from 2 species